rnacentral:lncRNA from 1 species
GCCUUGGAGCUCCAGGCUUGCUUCUGCAUUCGUUCAUGCAGCUGGUAUAGGAAAGGGCUCAGCUCCCAUUGCUGGACUGAGGUAGCUUGGGGUAACAAGGGCCACUCAUUUUCAGAGUAAGAGGCCUGAAAAUAGAAAAGUCCCAAAAUUCACAGGGUUUGACAGAGAUGACUGGACAUGAGGCAUUUCCCAAGGUAGCUCACUGGAAAUGGCGCCUCUUCCUACUGGCCCUACCCUUACAGCUUGCCAGCACAGCCCCUUAAUACAGGACAGAGAUUAUAGCACACACCAGGCACUGACAUGAGGCCAGGGGAAGCCAACGGAGCCUCAGGAGCCCGAAGGCUGACAGCGGUGCUGUGCUGCUCUCCGAGAGACAAUGCCAGGAAGAAAAGUAUGACUUGAUCCGUGGUGGACUUCUUGGUAACAUACUGAGUUCAGAAACUGCUCCUAAAUGUGAGCUUCUUCUACACCCUGAGCUCUCCCAAAGUCAGAUUGGACCCAGGCCAGGGCAAGCGUCCCGGCUGAGCUGUACCCUGGCUCCCCACACCCUUGUUUUGUUACAGAUUUUUAGGAACAUGGUCUUACUGUGCUGUCCAGGCUCUCCUCAGCCUCACAGCCCUCCCACCUCAGCCUCCUGCUCAGUGCUGGGAUUAACAGCUCCAGCCACCAAGCCAGCCACACCUACAGUGUUUCCCAACUAGCUCAUCAUGUGGGAAAUCUGUGGACUUUUGGCAAAAAUUUCUCCUGGUGAUCUUCUCAGAAGUCAGAGAAGGAAGUUGUCUAGCUCGCAGAAGACUGGGAGGAGGAAGUAAGGAGGCUUGCAGAGCUGGGUGUAGCUUCCUACCUGGGCACUCCUGUCUGGCCUUGCCACAUUCCCAGCAGAAUGUGCACAGAGCUGCGCUGUAGGGUGGGGACCAGCGGGGUCAGGCCACUGGCAGGGCCCCACGAUCUCUCAGUUGAUAUUAAUUGUCAGCUUGACAACAUCUGGAGUCACCUGUAAGUCUCCGGCCACGCCUCUGAGAGGGUUAGUGCAGUUCAGUUAACUGAGGUGAGACAGUUUAAAAACAGGUUGCACCAUUCCUGGGCGUGGCCCUUGCACUGAAGAGAGGGGAAAGCAGGCAGACAUGCGUUUGUUCAGUGUCCUCUGCUUCUUGGCUGUGGAUGUGAUGUCACUAGCUGCUGUAAGCGCCUGUUGCCUUUAGUCCCCAGCAUGAUGACUGCACUGGGAACUGUGAGCCUAAUAGUCCUGUCUCCCUUAAAUCGCUUUUGUCAGGGUAUUUAAUCCCAGCAAGGGGGAAAAAAAUAAUACAGUGUUUACUGACUCGGUAUGCCCCACUGUGGCGAUCAGAGCCCACCAGAGAGAGAGAAAAUUGUUGAAAGCAGUGUGGCUGGGAGGUGGUGGUGCACCUCUUUAAUUCCAGCACUUGGGAAGCAGAGACAAACAGAUCUAGAUCUCUGUGAGAUCAAGGCCAGCCCGGUCUGCAUAGUAAACUCCGACACAACCAGGAAUACACAGAGAAACCCUGUCUGG